GAUUAACGCUGGCGGCGUGCAUAACACAUGCAAGUCGAACGAUGAAACUUAGUCGACUUCUUCGGAAAGACACUAAGCGGAUUAGUGGCGAACGGGUGAGUAACGCGUGAGUAACCUGCCUUACACAAGGGGAUAGCCGUUGGAAACGAAGAAUAAUACCCUAUAAAACCAUAAAAGCACAUGCUAGAAUGGUCAAAGUGAUAGCGGUGUAAGAUGGACUUGCGUCUGAUUAGCUAGUUGGUGAGAUAAAAGCUCACCAAGGCAACGAUCAGUAGCCGGCUUGGGAGAGUGUACGGCAACAUUGGGACUGAGACACGGCCCAGACUCCUACGGGAGGCAGCAGUGGGGAAUUUUGCACAAUGGGGGAAACCCUGAUGCAGCGACGCCGCGUGAUUAAGAGGGCCUUCGGGUUGUAAAAAUCUUUUGUAUAGGAAGAAAAUGACAGUACUAUACGAAUAAGGUCCGGCUAAUUACGUG
rnacentral:rRNA from 1 species